GCUGUCUGUCUUGAUAACCCGUCAGCAUUGCCGUUUUGCUUACCGGGUCUAUAGUGGAUGGUAAAGUGGUAUGGCUGUAGCACCAAGCUCCAUCGUAACAGCCUGGCAUUGUCCUUCAGAUGAGGUUAAGCCAUACCAGCGGGUUUUGAUCUGUGAGCAGGGUGAAUUGCUGUCCAUAGAGGUAGGGCUGUAGUUUUUUGAGGGCCCAAACCACCACUAGGCACUCCUUUUUGACAGCGG